rnacentral:rRNA from 1 species
GAUGAACGCUGGCGGCGUGCCUAAUACAUGCAAGUCGAGCGAACGGACGAGAAGCUUGCUUCUCUGAUGUUAGCGGCGGACGGGUGAGUAACACGUGGAUAACCUACCUAUAAGACUGGGAUAACUUCGGGAAACCGGAGCUAAUACCGGAUAAUAUUUUGAACCGCAUUGUUCAAAAGUGAAAGACGGUCUUUCUGUCACUUAUAGAUGGAUCCGCGCUGCAUUAGCUAGUUGGUAAGGUAACGGCUUACCAAGGCAACGAUGCAUAGCCGACCUGAGCGGGUGAUCGGCCACAGUGGAAAUGAGACACGGACCAGAAUCCGACGGGAGGCAGCAGUAGGGAAUCUUCCGCAAUGGGCGAAAGCCUGACGGAGCAACGCCGCGUGAGUGAUGAAGGGCUUCGGAUCGUAAAACUCUGUUAUUAGGGAAGAACAUAUGUGUAAGUAACUGUGCACAUCUGGACGGUACCUAAGCAGAAAGCCACGGCUAACUACGU